UAGAAAUAGAUAAGUUGCUAAAUUAAUGAGAUUUAGUUUACCAUAAGACUCUCAUUUGGCACCAAAACUAGAUCACAUGAAAUCAAACAGAUAGUAAGGUUCAAGGAAAUCACAUAUUUAGAAACCUUUCGAGAUCCAGGCAACAGAACCCAAAGUGAUGCCUCCUGUUAAUGCACUAAUAAAGACCAAGCGAUAAAUUCUCAUAUUUAUAGAAGUUAAAAGAUAAUAUCUAGGCUUUAUCCUAAGAAUGUCCAACAAGAAGGUCUAAGUUCAUCAAUAUAUAUUUAGUUCCCCUACAACAUGGAAGAUAUAUACUUUCUCCUAUCCAAUCAUUCAAUUUAGAUCAAGUGAGUCACUCACCGUUUGAUCUUAGAUUCGAUACCUCUGAGUAUUUUAUUUUUAAUUUUUCUACAAAUUAUAUGAAUGUGAAAUUCGGUACAUGUCAUCUUCUCAAUGAAGUGCACCUAAAAACAAUAUGAAAAAGAAUUUUUUGAUAAAAUAUAAUGAUUAAAACACCCCUUGAAUCUUUCAAAGGUAUUUUAUUUUAUCGAGAAUAUUGUUUUAAUAUUUUUACAUGUGCGAGUUCGAGGAGUGGAAGCUCAAAAUUUGGUGUUAAAAUAUUUUGUAGAAACAAAUUAAAAAUAAAAUAGUGUAGAGACAUGCCAUUGUGAUUGGGGCCAUCUGAGCCGUCCAUUCAUAAUAGACGGUUGGAGAAGGGGACGUAUAUAAGUUCUAUGUUGUGGGGAAAAGGUUAGAGAAGGGGAAAUAUAUAAGUUUUAUACUAAAGAAGUAGGGAAGCAUAGAAAGCUUGCCCUUAUCUAUAACCAACUAUUUAAACAAAUUAAUUGUUUUCAACUU
rnacentral:lncRNA from 1 species